CGCCCGGCCGCCCGCCGCCUUCCGCCCCGUGCUGGCCUUUUCGUUUGAGAUGUUAGCCUCUCUCUCUGCUGCUGACUUUCCCGUUCUGGCUCAACCUCUAUUAAAGUUAACAAACAGUGAUCUGUGUAAACAAAUAUGUACACUUCUUCGCUAGUGUUAACUUUCCACCCCUUCCCACUCGUGUGACGACAUCUUCCUGUGCCCAACCCGGGUUUCUGCUCUUACAAUUUUACAAACGAGGAGUUCUGGUGUAAAGAUGGCUCAGCAGAAGGAAAAAGCUAUUUCUCAGGAUUAUGUUUACACUGAGCAACCCUGCAGGAGAAGGUAAUUUUCACCUCUGCAGCAAGAAUCCGGCUUGUUCACUGCUUGCUAUGAAAUGAUGAGAUUUAAAGUUCAGUGUUCCUCUCCUGUAAUGCAACCUACUAUGUGUUCAGGCAUCCAUCUGGGCUCCUUUGCAUCACCAAUUUGGGAGUGGAGACUCAGAGCCAGUGAUUUUGGGAACCAAUCUAGCACACAUGUCUACUUUCCUGACUUGGUGAACACAGUCAAAGGACAAAAUGGAAACUGUGGGAGCAUCUUAUAGUCCUCAUUCUAAAGAUUAUUUGAAUGGGGAAGAUUGGAUCAAAACUAUAUGAAUUUAAGGCAGCCACUAAAAGUUGCUGUAUAGGUACCAAGCCUGGACGAAUGAAUUUAACAAGCUCAUUUGUAUUUCUGGCUCCUUAACUCUUCAUUCUUUUAGCAUUUGGAAAUAGUCAGUAGCCACCUUGAAUAAAAUAGCACCAUCUGUCCAAUAAAUUUACCCCCAGCUUGAAGAAUCCUAUAAUGCAAGCAAAUAAAUAAAAAUAAUACCUAUUGCAAGAUGUUUGGAUU